rnacentral:rRNA from 1 species
UACGUAGGGUGCGAGCGUUGUCCGGAAUUAUUGGGGCGUAAAGGGCUCGUAGGCGGUUUGUCGCGUCGGGAGUGAAAACCUUGGGCUUAACUCAGGGCUUGCUUUCGAUACGGGCAGACUAGAGGUAUGCAGGGGAGAACGGAAUUCCUGGUGUAGCGGUGAAAUGCGCAGAUAUCAGGAGGAACACCGGUGGCGAAGGCGGUUCUCUGGGCAUGAUCUGACGCUGAGGAGCGAAAGUGUGGGGAGCGAACAGG